AAAAUUUUAGGUUAAAUAAACUUUUGACCUUCAAAGUCAACAAUGCUUUUUAGCAAAUUUUU
rnacentral:tRNA from 1 species